ACACUCUUUGGGUCCGCCCGUUUCUCUAAUCAAGUUGUAACACUCGCUGCUGUGGUCCACAGCUUCAUUCCUUGAAGCCCGUGAGACACGAACGCUUCCAUUGAGAAAAACCUUCCAUCAGAAGAAGACUUCUCGUCUCAGUGGGACUGCUGAGUUGAAUGGUGCUUUUUUUUCUGAAGCUUUGGUAGUGUAACUGUAAGAGUCCUGGAAUUGGAAAAGCAAAUCCAGAAGUUGAGUUCCAUGACUUUUUUGCUGUUUGCCUUUGGACUUGCAUCAUUUAUAUUUUUAAUUCAUCGAGGAUGAGAAAAUUGAUUAACACAAAAUCUUUUCAUGUCUUUUCUGAUGAGAGACUAGCUGAAUCCAAGAAGAGAAGCCCUUGAAGAGUGUAUUCUAUUCUAGACAAGCAUUCACACAUUGGCUUCUUUGGUGCCAGCAUGUUUCUGAUCAGCAUGAAAACUGCGCAGGAGCUUUUCUGUCUUGCAGAGCUAGUUAAUGAGAUUGUUGCUGCCUUCAGAUUCUAUAAAGGACUUCUCCAAUAUUGGAUUAAAGAAUGAAGAAAGGAUCAAAUUGAGACAUCCAGGGGGGAAGAGUUCCCUGGCAAAACUCCAAUCUGCCUGAGCACUGAGGUGGAGCCACAGAAGUCCGGGUCAUUUGCACCUGGGAGGAGCCUGGCCCCUCCUCUUCCUGUGUGGAAUCUGGGAUUUAAUCUGUGAGGAGGGAAGGCCAAGGGCAGGAAGCACAGGCUCUCACUUCACUAAGAGUCUCUGUUUCCCCUUUUUUUCCUUUAUGCCUAAUUAAUAAAUCCCAUUUUUCUCACUCUUCAAAUAGUCUUCAAGCCUAAAUUUUCAUGACCAUGGAACAAGGACCCCAUCUUUAGCUGAACUAAGGAAAAGUCCUGCAACAAAAUUCUUUGCUAAAAAUACAUGAGGUUGCCUUUUCCUUCUUAAUCUUAAAAGAAAUAUAUUUCAAUGGUUAACGUUUUAGUAAUUCAAAAAUUAUCAAGCAUUUGUUCACAACCAUAAGAUGUGCAUUGUUUUAUAUUCCUACUUAAUAAUAGACUAUAAUUGUCUAA
rnacentral:lncRNA from 10 species